GUUGUUACUACUCUUCUCACUGUGUUUCAGUGUUUUGAUCAGGGGACUGGUUUUGCUUAUAGUCACAGAUGGUUUCUGUUUGACAGGCUGACAGGCAGACAAAGUAAAUAGGCAUGGAAAUAAAAUAUUCCUUUGUUUUGGUGAAUCAGGCCAAUGUCACCAGUUGUCAUGUGGGGUAGACACUGCUUGAUAAUGCUUCUGGAUGUGUUAGGAUGGGGAGAGGAUAUUGUAUAUAAUCAUGCACUAGAAUCUUGCAUAAUUCUUUCCUGGGCACAGGAAAUCUUGUUGAAGAUUUGAUCAACAAAUCUGAGUAUACUGUUAAAUUGCACUAUUGCUUUUACAUUUAAGGUGGUAAGUGGUGCCAUUAUAUAGCACUGUGAAAUUUUAAGGGGUUAGUCUGGAAAAAUCCCAUCUGGCAAAGAUGUGCUUGAUCCUGCAUAUCAAUAGGAGGACAAAUCAAUAGCAGGAUGAAAUGCUAGAUAAUUAUUGUGUGUCUGUGCUUAUAUCUAUUGGCUUGCCUUUGCAGUGCAUGAAAGGAAUUUUGCAAAAACAGAAAAACAAACAAAAACUAAGAACACAAACUGCUUUGGUCAGCAAAGAUGCAAAUACUAAUAUAGUGUAUAAACUUGUAACCUAAGUGUUAUAAACCUGUUUUAAUGACAACUUUCAUUAUUAUGAAAGGAGAAAUCCAAUAAAUCAAUAAGAAUUUUGAAAUUGUUGAAAUACUUUAGAUAAAAAUGGACUGUGUUAUGACUUUUGUGGAAGCUCUUGGAAAAAAGUGCCAUCUGGUUCUGUUCUCCCAGAAUUUGCAAAAGGCUGACUUUCUCACUUUUUUCAUCCGUGAAACCAUCUUUUGAUUCAUCUGAGCCUAGAUUUCGGUUGUUGAAGCCUAUCUACGGGCAGGAGGCACCUCAGAGCCAAGCAAAGUCCAGAGUCCCUGGCACUUCAUAUACUUUGGAUGUUCUUCAUUAAGACACGCAAUGAUGUUGCUUACAUGACCGAUGAGUUCCCUUGCCAUUUAGCAAGGAUGUAGAUGUCACCUUUCCAGAACAAAGGCAACGUACAAUUUCCUAAUAUCUGCAGGAAAGAGGGACUGUUCCUUAGCCUCUGCUUUCACUGCCCACCUCAGGACAGAUUGCUCCUGCCUCAGUGGUGUGGUGGGAAAUCUUCUUCCUAACAACUGAGGGCAUAGCCCAAGCCUGGUCUCAUGCCACAGCUUGUUGGGGCAUGCUUUAGUGUCCUGAUUCCUGUUUCUCUAGAGUCUCUUGUUCAUCCUCUGUCUAUUUUAUUGGCUUAUCUCUUUAUUUUAUUUUGUAGGAAUUGAGGUGCCUGCAAUUGAGGGCACCAGGAUGCAGCAGAUAUGGGUCUCCGGUAAAUAUUCAUUUCAGGCUUAGAAUGAAUGAAUCUUUCCAAAGACUUCAGAUAUUAUUUAGAAAUCAACACCAGUAUCAUAUAUUUCUCAAUUGAGCUACUGGUUUUCAUUAGGCUGGAAAACUCUUCUGUUGCUUGUUCAUGACGCAGUUCAUACUUGACCUUACUCUAUUGCUGCAUUUAGUUGCUCACUGGGCAAGACUUUAAUCCCCUACUAGCAAACUGAAGUCAUAUCAACACUCAAAUGCUGCUGUGAUCUGUUGCUACGUUAUCAAUGUGAAUAGAGUCUUGCUCCCUGACCCUUAGGCCAGCCCACGGAGAUGUACUACAUGGACAUACACAUUCUGCCUACAUGCAGUUCAUGUAGAAUAGCAAGCACUAGGCAGCACCCUUGAGAUUACUUGCAGAGCAAACAGAAAUAUUCAUACAAAAGAAUGAAGAUUGGGGCUGCUUUUUCACAUCAGUACUUCUGCUUUAAAAUAACCACAUUCUCUCUAUAUAUGAAAUGAUUGGGCCAGCCCAGUAACAGAGAGGAAGUUUAGCACAAAAAAAAAAAAAAAAAAAAAAAGCAGUUUAAAAAAAUA